UCAAGCUAAUAAGAGCAUAGGGAGAAUGCCUAGGCACCAAGAGCCGAAGAAGGACGUGGCAAGCUGCGAAAAGCCAUGGUAAGCUGCAAACGAGCGAAGAGCCAUGGAUAUCCGAAUGGGGAAACCCGGCGGUGGUAAAGCGCCGUCACCGUAAUAUGAAAAAGAUAGUAUUACGGAGGGAACCCGGUGAACUGAAACAUCUAAGUAGCCGGAGGAAAAGAAAGAAACAUCGAUUUCCUAAGUAGCGGCGAGCGAAAGGGAAAGAGCCCAAACCCGGCCUCUACGGAGGGAGGGGGUUGAGGACCCGCGUAAAGCGAAGCGACAUAGUAGAAGUUGGAUGGAAAGCCAAACCGAAGAGGGUGAAAGUCCCGUACACGAAAUGGAGCGGAGCAGGCGGGGAUCCAGAGUACCACAGGACACGAGGAAUCCGGUGGGAAGCAGGGGGGACCACCCCCCAAGGCUAAAUACUACUUGGUGACCGAUAGCGAAUAGUACCGUGAGGGAAAGGUGAAAAGAACCCCGGGAGGGGAGUGAAAGAGAACCUGAAACCGUAUGUCUACAAGCAGUCGGAGCGAAAGCGACGGCGUGCCUAUUGAAGAAUGAACCAACGAGUUACGUGCACUAGCGAGGUUAAGUGGAAGACACGGAGCCGAAGCGAAAGCGAGUCUUAAGAGGGCGGAUAGUUAGUGUACGUAGACCCGAAACCGCAGUGAUCUACCCAUGUCCAGGUUGAAGCGCAGGUAAAAUUGCGUGGAGGACCGAACCUGUGAGCGUUGAAAAGCUUUAGGAUGAGAUGUGGGUAGAGGUGAAAUUCCAAUCGAACGCGGAGAUAGCUGGUUCUCCCCGAAAUAGCUUUAGGGCUAGCCUCAAGUAGUAAGUAUAGGCGGUAGAGCACUGAUCGGGCUAGGGGCCAUAAAGGUUACCGAACCCUGUCAAACUCCGAAUGGUUAUACUGUAGAGCUUGGGAGUCAGACUACGAGUGAUAAGAUCCGUGGUCAAAAGGGAAACAGCCCAGACCACCAGCUAAGGUCCCCAAUGUCGUACUAAGUGGAAAAGGAUGUGGGGUCUCUAAAACAACCAGGAUGUUGGCUUAGAAGCAGCCACCAUUUAAAGAGUGCGUAAUAGCUCACUGGUCGAGAGACCCUGCGCCGAAGAUUACCGGGGCUAAAGUACGAAACCGAAGCUGUGGCUACGACGUAAGUCGUGGGGUAGGGGAGCGUUCUGUGAGGGCUGAAGUCGUUCUGUAAGGAACGGUGGACUUCACAGAAGUGAGAAUGUUGGUAUGAGUAGCGAAAAGAAUGGUGAGAAUCCAUUCCACCGAAAGCAUAAGGAUUCCUGGGCAACGAUCGUCGUCCCAGGGUAAGUCGGGACCUAAUCCGAGGCAUGGAGCGUAGGAGAUGGACAACUGGCAGAUAUUCCAGUACCGGUAAUGAUUGUUUGAGCGAUGGAGUGACACAGGAGGGCAGGCAGGCAGGAGAUUGGUUGUUCCUGUACAAGCGUGUAGGAUGGGACGUAGGCAAAUCCGCGUCCUGUGAGUCUGAGGCGUGAUGUGGAGGUUCCGGAAACGGAACUGAAGCUGCUGACCCCACACUGUCGAGAAAAGCUUCUAGUUAGAGAAUUACCGCCCGUACCGUAAACCGACACAGGUAUGCGGGGAGAGAAUCCUAAGGUGCGCGGGAGAACCCUCGUUAAGGAACUCGGCAAAAUGUACCCGUAACUUCGGGAUAAGGGUAGCCGCUGUUGUGAAGUCUGUACGGAUGGAGCAUGAGGCGGUCGCAGAGAAGAGGCCCAAGCGACUGUUUACCACAAACACAGGUGCCUGCUAAAGAGAAAUCUGACGUAUAGGUGCUGACACCUGCCCAGUGCCGGAAGGUUAAGGAAGGAUGUCCGGAGCAAUCCAAAGCAUUCGACCGAAGCCCCGGUGAACGGCGGCCGUAACUAUAACGGUCCUAAGGUAGCGAAAUUCCUUGUCGGGUAAG
rnacentral:rRNA from 1 species